rfam:Defluviitoga tunisiensis isolate L3 genome assembly, chromosome: I
UAAGUAGGAUGAUUGAUCGCGAGUAGGCAUACAGGGCCUAUCUUGAGGAAAGUCUGGACUCUAAGGGUAAGGUGCUGGUUAAUUGCCAGAAGGAGAGAUCCUUGAAUAGGGCCAUAGAAACGGAAACCGCCGAAAGGCAAGGGUGGAAAGGUGGGGUAAGAGCCCACCAGUAUCAGAGCGAUCUGAUAGCUUGGCAACCUCCACCUUGAGCAAGGUCAAGCAGGAAGGCCAUAGGUGAUCCGCCGAGUGAGAGUUCUUCUCCGCCUUCCAGGUAGACCGCGAAGAUAAAUGAUCAAUAAGACAGAAUCCGGCUUACAGUCCUACUUAAUUA